UUUUUCACUUCGCCUUGCAGCCAGUAGUUGGGGGUGUAACGGCACAUAGUGUCUCUGAUUGGUUGAGAACAGAAGCUCCUCCCCCUGAUGUGACCAACAUCCCCAUAUAUCUGUGGGCUGCAACCUCCCCUCCCCUCACACUCCAGUCUGCUCAUUGAUCACAGACUGACAUCAUGCUGUUCACUUUGUGCACCUUCAUCACAGCUCUGGCAUGUAUCAGCGGCCAAAGGAUUGUCACUCAAAAACCCUCCUUACUGACUCUGAGUAAAGGAGAAACGGCCACCUUGCACUGUCAGAAACCCGUAGAUGACAGUUAUACCAUUUUUUGGUACAAGCAGGUCCCAGGAGGAGCUCCCCAGUUCGUCCUGUAUUACUACCGUACUGAUAGCUCUCUCACGUAUGGAAGUGGAUUCUUCUCCAGCCGCUUCACCUCCAGAGCCCAGUCCAACACAGAUUAUCAGUUAGUAAUACGCAGCGUGGAGGUGGACGACUCUGCUGUGUAUUACUGUAAGAAAUGGUUUAGCAAUGAAGCAGUAUCACAGUGAUUCACACCAUGACAAAAACCUGCCAGUUUCACUUCUGCUUUACUACAAAUGCUGACAGAAUAUUAUUUAAUUUCAAGUUAAUCACAACCAUUCUUAAUGCAGUUAGAGUAAUAACUGCCAUCAGGACCGGUGGAAGCCCAAGUGGUGCCCAAGGCAAACUUCACUGCCAGUGUCCCACCCACCUGCACACCAAGGAAA